rnacentral:rRNA from 1 species
CUACGGGGUGCUGCAGUGGGGAAUCUUGGACAAUGGGCGCAAGCCUGAUCCAGCCAUGCCGCGUGAGUGAUGAAGGCCUUAGGGUCGUAAAGCUCUUUCGCCAGGGAUGAUAAUGACAGUACCUGGUAAAGAAACCCCGGCUAACUCCGUGCCAGCAGCCGCGGUAAUACGGAGGGGGUUAGCGUUGUUCGGAAUUACUGGGCGUAAAGCGCGCGUAGGCGGACCAGAAAGUUGGGGGUGAAAUCCCGGGGCUCAACCCCGGAACGGCCUCCAAAACUCCUGGUCUUGAGUUCGAGAGAGGUGAGUGGAAUUCCGAGUGUAGAGGUGAAAUUCGUAGAUAUUCGGAGGAACACCAGUGGCGAAGGCGACUCACUGGCUCGAUACUGACGCUGAGGUGCGAAAGCGUGGGGAGCAAACAGGAUUAGAUACCCGAGUAGUC